UGGAAAAAAUGGGGGUUGCCAUACCAACUUUUAACAAGAAAUGGGCCAUCCUAAUUAUCACUACAAAAGUUUUUUUUUCUCCUGCCGAUAAUUGCCUACCUUAAUCGUUUGGUCUCAUUAAGAGUUGGUAUGGCAACCCCCAUUUUUUCAUGUUCUCUGUUUAUCUGUCUAUCUUCUUCAGAUGCAUGCAGUGGAAAAUACAGUAGGAAGUGGGCUUUCGCCCACGAAAGCUUAUGCUCAGAUAAAUUUGUUAGUUGCUAAGGUGCCACAAGUACUCCUCGUUCUUUCUCCUUUUUUAGGUUAUUUUAACUUGGAGGUUAGUUAUAGUUUUUUAACUUUGCAGGCCCUUAAUUGACCAUGAAUAGUGUGUGUGUGGUUUUUUUUGUGGAGAGGGAUGUUGUGGUUUACAUUAGGAAGAACAGAUUUAUCUUGAGUAUUGAUAAACAUAACAUCACAAACAUAAGAUCAAUAUCAUAAGAUAACUUCUUAUUUUAUACUGUAAAGCAGCAUAUUUCAGCAUGGGUACAAAGUGCAAAUGAUUAUUGUAUACUGGGACAAAUUUUGUUCUGUUACCCAGCAUAAAUCCCACUGCCUUCCAAAGAGUUGCUUCAGAUUUAUGCCAGUGUUAUUGAGAAUAGGAUUUGGCCUGCUUCUUAUAAAUAUUUUUUCAUUAUAAAACAAAUUAGUAUGUAGAGUGACAGACUAGAUUAGAGUAGUAUAUAGUCAGAUUACUAAAGUCUCCCUGUUAUAAAUAGCACACCCAGUUUAGACGUGGCAUGAUAUAACACAGCUGCCUUAGACAACUAGGCUAUUAAACUAUAUGUACUAAAGAAUCAAAAUUCUGCUGAUUAAAUAGUUCCAAAUUUGGCUUUGUCACAAUAAUAUUUAUUCUUAUCUGUAUUACAGUAGUGCCUUGGGGCGCCAUUGUAUUAGGCACUAUAACAGCUCUUGUUUAUAGAGAGAGAGAGAGAGACAAGAUGGGUGAGGUAAUAUUUUUUAUUGGACCAACUUCUGUUGGUGAAGGAGACAAGCUUUUGAGCAUACACAGAGCUCUCCUCCAGGUUUGGAAAAGGUGCGGGAAAGGUGCUCAGGCCAGGUUUACACUAAAAAGUAAGGUAGACCCAGCUAUGUCGGUCAGGGUUGUGAAAAAUCCACACCCCGAAGUGAUGUCGUUAAACCAGCCUAACCCCUGGUGUAGACAGCACUAGGUCAAUGGAAGAAUUCUUCCACUGACCUAACAACUGCCUCUUGGAGAGAUAGAUUAACUACAGGAAUGGGAGAACUCCUGUCGUUGUAAUGAGGGUCUACACUGAAGUGCUACAGCAGCACAGUGCAGCACUGCUGCUGUAGCCAUUUAAGUGUAGACAUACACUCGGUGUCACAGCUAAACACAAGGUGUAACAGAUUAUUUAGCAUGAGUAGUUAAUGCAUAUUGUAAGUGACCAUUCAAGGUGAAGUUGCCAGUUAGCACUUCUGCAGUCAUGUGGCAAAAGAGGGGGGUUAGUGGGUUGCUGCUUGUUGUAAUAAGCCAAAAAUCUAGUUCAUAUAGUCAGUGGCUUAUGUAUUAGAGUCUCUGUACUGCCAAUUUGAGAUGUGAUUUAUCUGUUUUUUCUUUGUCAAUGCAUGUAUUUCCAUUGCUUCCCUUUAGCUCUUUUAGACUACCCGUUUCCAUCAUUGUUAGUCUUCCUAUAACUUUGAUUCUUAAUAUUUAAUGUGACAACAGAUAAAAUCUUCAGAUUUUUAAUUUUUUUCUUUAGAAAUAUGUGAUCAAAGCCAGUUCAUGUGGCACUUUCUUGUAUUAGAAAAAUUAACUGUGUAAAUAAGCAAUAUACAAAUAGAUUGAAAAUGGACUGCUGUUGGAAGGGUUAAGUUAAACAAGUCUGUACUACAGAGAAAUAAACUAAUUGAUGAAUUAAAUGAAUAUGUUUAUCUGGGGACUUCAAGUAGCUCUGUUAUGGAAUUUCAAAGAAUGAUGGAUUUAUUAUACAGUUAAUGCUCUCCUCUCCUUAUGGACGUUAUGGAGCACACUAUGCAAAACAUUGGCGUACCACUCCCGUUCAUUUCUCCAGAGUGAGAAUGGCCACCAGGAACAGUUCAGUUAAAUGACACUAAUGUAACAAGAACUCACCAGCUAUUUUGGCUUAAGGAGGGUGUAUGUGCACGGCAUUCAAUACUCCAUUGAAACAACAAGAAAGAAGUAGCUGGAGACAAAAAGUAGUAACAGCGAUUGACAAUAGGGAUUGUGUAAAACCAGUCACCCCAUCCAUCCCUUUUCCGUGAACCUUUCUCUGCAAAAUAAAUGUUAAUGUUGUGUUGUGGUGGUGUCUAGGUGCCAGAGCAUUAUUGUGCUAAGUGCUGUACAAACAUGUAACAAAAAGAUGAUCCCUGCCCCUAAGGGCUUCCAAUCUCUGUUGAAUAUUUCAGCACCUUUCCUUGUUCUUCUGUCUGAUGAUUUUGCCUCUCAUUCCUUUACUUCCUUCCACCCCAUUCCCAGUCUCAUUUGUUCUCACAGUCUUAGUGUGUGCUUCCUCCUAGCUCCUCCAUGUUCUGCCUUUGUUAUUCCUCUCUUGUUCAUCGUCAUGUUCUCUCCUGCUCCUUACCCAUGUGCUUUUUGCUAAGCACAAAGUGAGGGAGUAUUGAGAAGAGCACAACACUUGUGCUUAUUCCACGUGCUUUAAUGCUAUCGGCAGUGUGUUGUGGCAAAAGCACAGGGGUGCCAGUAUCAGAAAAGCUGCUUUGCAUGAAUUACAUUUAAUAAGGCCGUAAGCCAUAGGUUGACAGCUCUGGUACAUGGAGCUAUAUAAAGAAGAUUAUUCUUUGCAGCAAUUAAGGCCCCUUCCCCCAUAAAUUAUCAAAUGGUACCAACCAUUGUAUGCAGCACAUUUCUGUCUGUUUACUCAGAACCUACCAAGGGUUCAGCUGCUGCAUAACGGGAGAGUGAGUGAAUGUGAUUUGGAGAGUCAUCACAGAUGAACCAGAAGCUAUCCUAAGUGGAAUCAGGCUAUCAGACAUCAUUAGCUGAGGAAAGUGAUUACAAGACAGAAGUCCGGUGGUGGUAGUGGUUAGACAGUCAGACAUUCCAUGACACCUCAUGUUCUGAUUUUCGAAUGGCAGUCAUGAAAGUCUCACCCCACAGAGGUGCUGGGGAGCAUCUGUGCACUUGAAACACAUAUGUCCGUCAGGAUCCACUAUCCUCUUAUGAGAGAAAUUACUUAUAUGGAGCUAUACAUUUACAUGGCACUUGACAAAUAUACAGAUGAGAGAUGCUUUAAAUCAGUGGUCCCCAAUCUUUCUGUGGGAAUAGCACAUUCCUAUUCCCAACAGAGUGUGGCGGGCGCUAAACACCCUGCCGCCGAAAUGCUGCCGAGAAACGGCAACGCUUCUCGGUGGCAUUUUGGCGGUACAGUGUCUUGUGGGCGUACACAACUGCCAUCGCACCCACGGGCACCGCGUUGGGGACCCCUGCUUUAAAUAAAAGGUCUAAACUAUUUUGAUAGUGACCCUGUAAGAUUCUAAUGUUGCAUGUAACAGAAGGGGUCACAUUAAAAUCAGUGAUGAGGUGUGGCAUUGGUCAUGGGCAUCAGCCUGCAAUACUGAAAGAGUAAGAUUUUCUUUCUUUCUUUUUUUGGUAAUCCCCAUAUUUUAGCUUGUUCAGCAGGUAUAUUAAGAAGGAAGCAUUUAUCUUUUGUAAUAUGGAUGGCUGUACGUGCAUUUUCCAGUACUAUUUUUUCUAACAUCAGGAAAGAGUAGUACUACUUUUCCCAUUUUCACUGCUUUAAAGAUGCAUAAUAAUAGUUCAGGCAAAACUAGAGUCUGUAAGUGCACCCAAGGUGAAGAUUACCACUGUAUAGUAGUAGCCUUUUGCCAUCUCAGUGGAGACAUUGUAUAUCAAGAUAGUUCUUUCUAGUGAGGCUUUUAUAUUGAAGCAUCUUGAAAAGUGCAAAUAAAUUAAGAAGCAAAUAUCUCCUUUCUGUAAAUUGUAAGAUAUAGAUUUAAAUAGCUGUUUUAAAAAAAUUCAAACUCCAGGACAUCCAAAAACUGAAAAGUCUUGGUCGAAGUAUUUGUAUCAAAGCCUUGCCUUCUCUAUAUGGGUGACAUUUUAAGGCUACGUAUAGCUUGCCAUUAAAAAAAAAAAAAUAAAAAAAUCAACAUUUCCUAACAGGUACCAUGCAGUGGUAUGGGAGACAACUGUACAUUUCACAUAAUCAAAUCCUGAAGGAGAUGAGCAGUCUUUCUUAAAAACAAAAUUAAAAAUUGUGUUUUAAAGGUGACUUGUAAAAGAGAAAAAGCUUCCUCCAGGUUUCCAUAGCGCCAGCAUCUGAAGCACUGGGAGUACAGAAGACCGUUCCAGACGGAGUACAGUUCCAGUGCCUGGCGCCACAGUGGCUUCUAAGUCAAGCAAGGAGCAAUUGUGGGUAAAGUCCUACUCAGCCCCUGCAGCCUACUCUGUUGCUCCAUGGAAGUAGUGCAUGCACACUGGCCAUACGGAGAAACUGGAACAUGCUCAGUGCCAAUGGAAUAUUUGGAGAAUUCGGCUGCAGAAUGUCUCUCUCAAUUUCUCAGGCAUUUCAUGGCAUCUCUGUUGUCAUAAUCCUACCAGUUGUCCAGUAGCCCAUAGUGUUGGGGGAAAAGGGUAGAUAUGAGGGGAAUAAGACCCAUUAUUAAAACUUUUUUGUAAUGCCUCCUAUUGGAGAAAAGGAAUUAAAACUUUUCUUAUUUGCAUA